GUUCUCUCCUUAGUCUCUUAGAAAUCCUAAAAUCGUGGAACAAGAGAGGAUGGAACAACGAAUUCAUCAUGUUUCAUCUUAGUUUUUUUUUGUUUCGAGGUUAGAUUUACCUAACUCGAUUUCUCUCUCGGAUCUUCAUGGUGUUAAUUCACAAAAAAUGGAUCUCAUGAACGACAACUAUAAUCCACAAGGCGGCAAUCACUUGAAGCAUCGUGUCGGCGAUAUUGGAUUGGAGUCAACGAAGGAAGCGAGCCUAGCUAUGAUUUCAAACCUAUUCUCCCAAAUGCCUCCGUCGGAUUGUCUCACCACGCUUUAGAUCUCAGUGGGUCUGCUAAUUUCACGGCUGCUAGGUUUUGGGAUGCUUCUCAUCCAAAGUCGGUUUCAACUUUAUUCUACGAGAGUCUGUGGUGGAUAAAACUCUUAAAAGCACUGGGAAAGAUAGAUAACAUGAGAAAGGGUAGAGGCUCUCCACCAUUUACAAAUCAAUCACUAAUUUCAAAGAGAUUGAUGAGGUCACCGCCGCUGCAAAUGAUGAGGUCACCGCCGCUCACUGCUCACCGACGCUCAUCGUUGCUCGCUGACGCUCACCAGCCUAUACACCAGCCAUCUCACUAGCCAACGUAGGAGAAACAAUAUCAGUAAACCACACCGCUAGGAACUAUCUCAGACACCACAACACACCACCAGGAACCAUACCAACUACUUCAGCACCUUGUUCAUCAUUCUAAAAACUUUUUACCUUCUCUUAUGUACAUGUUAGAUCUUUUGGAAGUUUAAAGAUUGUGUAAGGCUUUGAUUAGUAACAUUAUGAAUUUGAUUAGCAACAUUUUGGCUGAUU